rnacentral:tRNA from 1 species
GGGGAUGUAACUCAGGGGUAGAGCCCUUGCCUAGUAAGCAAGAGGCUUUGAGUUCAAUCCUCAGUAUUGCCU